GUGGGGAAUAUUGGACAAUGGGCGAAAGCCUGAUCCAGCCAUGCCGCGUGUGUGAAGAAGGUCUUCGGAUUGUAAAGCACUUUAAGUUGGGAGGAAGGGCAGUAAGUUAAUACCUUGCUGUUUUGACGUUACCAACAGAAUAAGCACCGGCUAACUUCGUGCCAGCAGCCGCGGUAAUACGAAGGGUGCAAGCGUUAAUCGGAAUUACUGGGCGUAAAGCGCGCGUAGGUGGUUCAGCAAGUUGAAGGUGAAAUCCCCGGGCUCAACCUGGGAACUGCCGCCAAAACUACUGAGCUAGAGUACGGUAGAGGGUAGUGGAAUUUCCUGUGUAGCGGUGAAAUGCGUAGAUAUAGGAAGGAACACCAGUGGCGAAGGCGACUACCUGGACUGAUACUGACACUGAGGUGCGAAAGCGUGGGGAGCAAACAGGAUUAGAAACCCUGGUAGUCC
rnacentral:rRNA from 1 species